rnacentral:misc_RNA from 1 species
AGCAGCCGCGGUAAUUCCAGCUCCAAUAGCGUAUAUUAAAGUUGUUGCAGUUAAAAAGCUCGUAGUUGAAUUUCGGGGUUAGUAGGUUGGUCAUGCCUCUGGUAUGUACUGGUCUCACUGAUUCCUCCUUCCUGAUGAACCUUAAUGCCAUUUAUUUGGUGUUUUGGGGAAUUUGGACUGUUACUUUGAAAAAUUAGAGUGUUUAAAGCAAGCUAACGCUUGAAUACAUUAGCGUGGAAUAAUGAAAUAGGACGUUCGAUCCUAUUUUGUUGGUUUCUAGGAUUGACGUAAUGAUUAAUAGGGAUAGUUGGGGGCAUUAGUAUUCAAUUGUCAGAGGUGAAAUUCUUGGAUUUAUUGAAGACUAACUACUGCGAAAGCAUUUGCCAAGGAUGUUUUCAUUAAUCAAGAACGAAAGUUAGGGGAUCGAAGACGAUCAGAUACCGUCGUAGUCUUAACCAUAAACUAUGCCGACUAGGGAUCGGAUGAUGUUAAUUUUUUAAUGUACUCAUUCGGCGCCUUA